GAAGCUCCGAGAAUGUAAAUCAGUCGCAAAAACUGUAGAGAGAUAUUGAAACAGUCCAUCUGAUACUUGGGGUUUCAAGUAUACACCACCAGUUAUGUAAGAAGCCUGCUGAAGAAAAGCAGAAUGCUGAGAUCCUAUUACACAUGAAUCAAUGGGUACCAUUGAACGUUGAGCUGAGAAAAUUGAAUUCAUGACUGCAACAUAUUGUCCCGGCCCAUCUGGAGAUCCAUGCAGACACAAUAUCCGAGGUUGUGGAUGAAGAGGCCCUGAACGAAAUACCCGUUGAAUGUAGCACAAAGCCAUAGAAAGUGCACCAGAAAGCAGCGAAAACCCAACUCCAUCAACAGAGUCUUCUUGACUCAAGGACUCAUCUUUAUCCACAAAAUCCUCCAGUUUCUCCAACAAACACUCAGCUCUUUGCAUUGACGAGGUAGACGAAUCGAAUACAUAAUCACAUGAAUUGUACCCAGUUGCAAU
rnacentral:misc_RNA from 1 species